rnacentral:rRNA from 1 species
AGCCCAGAGCCUGAAUCAGUGUGUGUGUUAGUGGAAGCGUCUGGAAAGGCGCGCGAUACAGGGUGACAGCCCCGUACACAAAAAUGCACAUGCUGUGAGCUCGAUGAGUAGGGCGGGACACGUGGUAUCCUGUCUGAAUAUGGGGGGACCAUCCUCCAAGGCUAAAUACUCCUGACUGACCGAUAGUGAACCAGUACCGUGAGGGAAAGGCGAAAAGAACCCCGGCGAGGGGAGUGAAAAAGAACCUGAAACCGUGUACGUACAAGCAGUGGGAGCCUCUU